AGCGAACGCUGGCGGCAGGCUUAACACAUGCAAGUCGAGCGCCCCGCAAGGGGAGCGGCAGACGGGUGAGUAACACGUGGGAACGUACCUUUUGGUUCGGAACAACCCAGGGAAACUUGGGCUAAUACCGGAUAAGCCAUUACGGGGAAAGAUUUAUCGCAAAAAGAUCGGCCCGCGUCUGAUUAGCUAGUUGGUGGGGUAAUGGCCCAGCAAGGCUACGAUCAGUAGCUGGUCUGAGAUGAUGAUCAGCCACAUUGGGACUGAGAAACGGCACAAACUACUACGGGAGGCUGCAGUGGGGAAUAUUGGACAAUGGGGGAAACCCUGAUCCAGCCAUGCCGCGUGAGUGAUGAAGGCCUUAGGGUUGUAAAGCUCUUUUAGCAGGGAAGAUAAUGACGGUACCUGCAGAAAAAGCCCCGGCUAACUUCGUGCCAGCAGCCGCCGUAAAAC
rnacentral:rRNA from 1 species